rnacentral:misc_RNA from 1 species
UUAUCCUUUGCCUUGCUAUCCCUACUCCUAUCCUUGCCACGCUCCUUAUCUACAUAGUCAUCUUGCUCUUUUUCCACAUCUUUGGCGAUAUCAUCAGUAGUUCUCUUGGUGCGUUCUCUGUCCUUAUUUCUAUGAUCCGUGUCCCUGUCUUCUACUCGGCUGCUUUUCCUCCUGUCCUUGUCUCUACCAGAAUGCUUACUUGAUUUUGCUGUGCCAUCCUCGUCAUCUACACCAUCCUUCUCUUUGUGUCGCUUGUACCUGGAUUCAGACCAGUCCAUGUCCAUUGCAGCUAUUCGAUUCAGCCACAAUAUUUCCACUACGUCCAAAAAGACUUGUAUGCUCACCUGGCAAACCUGAACACUGCUAUGGAGGCCGUAACGUCCAAUCCGCAGUAGCUUGCGAGGGCGAACAAAUUAGGGUUUUGUUUUGGUCGAAAGUCUCUGAACACUGAUACUAACGGAGAAGAU